GGAGCGGUAGCUCAGCUGGUUAGAGUGCCUGCCUGUCACGCAGGACGUCGCGGGUUCGAACCCCGUCCGCUCCGCCA
rnacentral:tRNA from 2 species